rnacentral:rRNA from 1 species
ACUAGCGGCCAUAGCACGUUGAAUGCACCAGUUCAAAAUGGAUCACCAAAGUAGAGCAACGUUGCGCGUGGUUAGUAUCCGAUUGGGUGUCCAUCUGGUGAUAGCUUUUCCCAGCC